CCAAAGUGAGGUCUUCAUAUCUGGACUAUUCCUAUCUUCUUACGUUGUGGAAAUUUGAACAUUAUUCUGCCCUUUUGCCUUUUUAUCCUUUAUUCUAGACAUUGUCUCACCACCAUUAUCUUACUUGGCGCAGCCCUUGUUCCUCCAUUUUUGUAUUUCUCCUAACAUUCUAAAGGGUUUUGAGGGAUUUCCCUUUUUUAAGGGUUGCUGCCUAUUGUGUUAUUUAGAACUUACUCACUCUGUAUGCAAACAAGACAGCCCAGACACUAUUCAGUGGACCACUAAUUUCAUGACUGCAUACACAGCACUAAAGGUAGCUAUUGUUGAGGCCCCAGCAUUAGGACUACCUGAUUAUUGUAAACCUUUCCAUCUUUAUUCGCGGGACAACUGUAAAACCAUGGCUGCUGUCUGUGCACAAGAGCACAGAGGUGGUAUGCGUCCCAUAGCAUAUUUCUCCAAAGUAGUUGCUAUACUGGUACAGGGGAUGCUGGUGUGUCUUCGGCCUUUGGCAGCAUGCUCUAUGGCUGAAGAGGGGGCCGCAACUAUUACCCUAGGCCACCCCACUAUACUUCAUACUUCACAUCAGGUAAUGCAUUUAAUAAAAAAAUCUUACUACACAACACAUGACUGCUCAAUGCCUUAGUGGUUAUGAAAUAAUUCUGUUAAACACACAGAAUCUUUCUAUUGUUUAUUCACCCAUUACAUCCGGCCUAUGUCUAUCCUUCAUGUCAUACUUACCUCCACUUCGCAUUCUAUGGAACAGUAUCCAGAGCCACAUGAUUGUAUUUCACAAAUCCAUUUAAUCACUUCUCCCUGCCCAGAUUUGUCAUCUUCUACUUUAGAAGGUGAGGUCGAGGAUGUAUUUGUUGAUGAUUCAUGUUCUCGUCCGAAUGACGGUGAAUACCAUACUGGUUAUGCUGUUGUCCAGUUACCUGACACUGCUCUCGAAGCCCAUACCCCAUCAAUCAGCCCAAGCCGCUGAACUGGUUGCUCUUACCCGUACCUGUCACUUAUUUAAGGGUAAACGUGUAAAUAUUUUUAUGGAUUCACGUUAUGCUCAUGGGGUUGUACAUGAUUUUGGAGUCAUUUUGAACAACGAGGGUUUGUAGGAGCAGAUGGAAAGAAAAUUUCACAUACUGAACUAAUACAGGAACUACUUGAUGUAAUACAACUCCCACUGGAGGUAGCCAUUAUUCAUUGUAGAGCUCAUACUAAUGGUAAU